UACGUAGGGCGCAAGCGUUGUCCGGAAUUAUUGGGCGUAAAGAGCUCGUAGGCGGUCUGUCGCGUCCGUUGUGAAAACUCGAGGCUCAACCUCGGGCUUGCAGUGGAUACGGGCAGACUAGAGUGCGGUAGGGGAGACUGGAAUUCCUGGUGUAGCGGUGGAAUGCGCAGAUAUCAGGAGGAACACCGAUGGCGAAGGCAGGUCUCUGGGCCGUAACUGACGCUGAGGAGCGAAAGCAUGGGGAGCGAACAGG
rnacentral:rRNA from 1 species